rnacentral:lncRNA from 1 species
GGGAAAGCCUUCAGCCAGAGCUCAUGCCUUACUCUUCACCUGAGGACUCACACAGGUGAGAAGCCAUACACAUGUAGCACAUGUGGGAAAGCCUUUUCUCAGAAGGCAAAUCAAAGGAAGCACGAGAGGACUCACAGUGGUGAGAAGCCUUGUGCCUGUGACGUGUGUGGGAAAAGCUUUGGCUUCAGCACCCAUCUCAGGCAACACCAGAGAAUUCACACCAAGGAGAAGCCACGGUGUCAAGACUGUCAUAAAGCCUUUCACAGCUUCUCUGCUCUGAGCGAACAUCAGAAACUUCACACUUGUACAGCAGCAAGUACCACUGCCCAGAGCCACCUGCUCACAGCAGAGGCCCGUGCCUCUGAAGGCCCUCAUUUGGAGCCAGCCAUUGAAACUAGCACACUGCAAACCUCCCCUCCCCACAGUCCUAAUAAAAAUCAAUGAGGCAGAUUGGACAGACGCAUCCCAUCCAGACCAGCGGUUCUCAACUUCCCUGAUGCUCCAACCUUUUAAGACAGUUCCUCAUUCUGUGGUGACUUCCAGACAUAAAAUCAUUUUGUUGCUA